AUACGUAGGUGGCAAGCGUUGUCCGGAAUUAUUGGGCGUAAAGCGCGCGCAGGUGGUUCCUUAAGUCUGAUGUGAAAGCCCCCGGCUCAACCGGGGAGGGUCAUUGGAAACUGGGGAACUUGAGUGCAGAAGAGGAUAGUGGAAUUCCAAGUGUAGCGGUGAAAUGCGUAGAGAUUUGGAGGAACACCGGUGGCGAAGGCGACUGUCUGGUCUGUAACUGACACUGAGGCGCGAAAGCGUGGGGAGCAAACAGGAUUAGAUACCCUGGUAGUCCACGCCGUAAACGAUGAGUGCUAAGUGUUGGGGGGUUUCCGCCCCUCAGUGCUGCAGCUAACGCAUUAAGCACUCCGCCUGGGGAGUACGGUCGCAAGACUGAAACUCAAAGGAAUUGACGGGG
rnacentral:rRNA from 1 species